rnacentral:rRNA from 1 species
UACGACGGGGGCUAGCGUUGUUCGGAAUUACUGGGCGUAAAGCGCACGUAGGCGGGUUAUUAAGUCAGGGGUGAAAUCCCGGAGCUCAACUCCGGAACUGCCUUUGAUACUGGUAAUCUAGAGAUCGGAAGAGGUUAGUGGAAUUCCCAGUGUAGAGGUGAAAUUCGUAGAUAUCGGGAAGAACACCCGUGGCGAAGGCGGUUCUCUGGGACGGUACUGACGCUGAGACGCGAAAGCGUGGGGAGCGAACAGG